rnacentral:rRNA from 1 species
UACGUAGGGCGCAAGCGUUAUCCGGAAUUAUUGGGCGUAAAGAGCUCGUAGGCGGUUUUGUCGCGUCUGCCGUGAAAGUCCGGGGGCUCAACUCCGGAUCUGCGGUGGGGUACGGGGCAGACUAGAGUGAUGUAGGGGGAGACUGGAAUUUCCGGUGUAGCGGUGAAAUGCGUAGAGAUCGGAAGGAACACCGGUGGCGAAGGCGGCCACCUGGACUGAGACGUGACGCUGAGGCGCGAAAGCGGAUGGGUAGCAAACGAGGA